CAGUCGCCGCGGGAAUACGUAGGUGGCAAGCGUUGUCCGGAGUUAUUGGGCGUAAAGGGCUCGCAGGCGGUUUCUUAAGUCUGAUGUGAAGGCCCCCGGCUCAACCGGGGAGGGUCAUUGGAAACUGGGAAACUUGAGUGCAGAAGAGGAAAGUGGAAUUCCACGUGUAGCGGUGAAAUGCGUAGAGAUGUGGAGGAACACCAGUGGCGAAGGCGACUCUCUGGUCUGUAACUGACGCUGAGGAGCGAAAGCGUGGGGAGCGAACAGGAUUAGAUACCCGUGUAGUCCCUGUCUCUUAUAC
rnacentral:rRNA from 1 species